AUCAGAUCUUUCCUAUCUUUUGGUUUCAGACUCUACUGUUGCGAGUCAGUUGCAACAGGCAGAUGAGAAGAAAGCCAACCUUGUAUCACAAAUCACAGCUAUUAACCAGACUUUAGGACAAACCUGCCGACACUGCCCCUCUGGCUGGAGAAUGGUGAAUUCCUUUUGUUACUAUUUUUCUAGCAAGGACCAGGCCUGGGAGGAGGCUAAACACAACUGUGUCAGUGCAAACUCUGUCCUUCUCAUUCUAGAAGAUGACGUAGAAAUGGUACGAAAAACUGUUGAUAAUAUAUUUUUAUAUGACCACAUUUAUAUUAGAACAGCCUAUUCCUAUGACGGACAAAUGGUUAUGUGUCAGAGUGUAAGAAUAAUAAAGUCUAAUAACAAAUGUCCCUAUCAUUCUGACGCUGCAAUAACCACAUGCCCAAGGCAGGAAAGGUGAAGGGAUGGGUGAUGUUCCCCCAUUUAUUUAUUCUCUUAUUAAUGACACCCUGU